AACGAACGCUGGCGGCAGGCUUAACACAUGCAAGUCGAGCGCCCCGCAAGGGGAGCGGCAGACGGGUGAGUAACGCGUGGGAACGUACCCUUAUCUUCGGAAUAGCUCCGGGAAACUGGAAGUAAUACCGAAUGUGCCCUUUGGGGGAAAGAUUUAUCGGAUAAGGAUCGGCCCGCGUUGGAUUAGCUAGUUGGUGGGGUAAAGGCCUACCAAGGCGACGAUCCAUAGCUGGUCUGAGAGGAUGAUCAGCCACAUUGGGACUGAGACACGGCCCAAACUCCUACGGGAGGCAGCAGUGGGGAAUAUUGGACAAUGGGCGCAAGCCUGAUCCAGCCAUGCCGCGUGAGUGAUGAAGGCCCUAGGGUUGUAAAGCUCUUUCAAUAGGGAAGAUAAUGACGGUACCUACAGAAGAAGCCCCGGCUAACUUCGUGCCAGCAGCCGCCGUAAGAC
rnacentral:rRNA from 1 species